GACUUUAUGUCGAAUUGUUGACGGGGAACCUAACAACCAUGUAUUUAUACGACCGUCAUGGACUGGAAACAAAAUUGAUCUAGAGAUAAUUCUGCUCUCCGACUUUAUAUUGGGUUUGCUGGAGGGUUCCAUUCUUUUCGAGUGGGUGGGUACUCUUCACUUGUUCGAUUGUUUCCCCUUCUUGUUCCCCCGCCUCUUCUUGGCCACCGCCUUCUGGAAUCGCCGGUGCCUGGAGCUCUCACAAAAUGCUUCUCCGCAUCCGAUGACCCUCGUCGGCUACACCUGUCGCCGGCAAGGCCUCCCGGUCCCCAAGAACUCCGAUAUCCGGACUUGACCCGGACUUGCCUCUCUAUCGUUGCGCCGGCGGCCCAGAAAGGAUCCAAUCACUAAUGGGGCAUGAUCCUUUAUCAGUCUAAUUCUUGCCUUGGAGAAAGGUUUUCUGCCAAUUAGAACGCUGAAAUCUUGGUGGAAACCCUAAUAUAUGCGGUCGUCGACCAUAUGUCGCUUCCACAUCCGCUGGACCUCCGCUGUCGCGGUCUUCAUUUGGCUGCGAACUUAUCUUCCAGGCGACCGUAAAGAGUUUCUACAUGGUAACGGUACGGUGGGAGCCUGCACAGAGAUUUUCAUGGACUGGUAGAAUCCACCCGUACGCUGGAAUUGCGCCGCCUGGGGGUCGCUCCUGUAAAUUAGCACGGGGAGGUCCCUUUCCCGGACCCUCCCACCACAUGGGUUUUCCUCGUCUUCGCCUCUCUCUCUCUCUCUUCUAUUUCCUUUCCUACGGGUAAGUAUUUUCCUUUCUUUUUCUUUGUUUUCGUGUUUUAAUCUUGCGGUCGAGUUUUUCUUUUUAAUUUUUUUUUCGCUCUUUUACGUGUGAACAUUUUUGGAAGGACGGCUAUUGCAACGAUGAAACCCAAAUCGAUCGAAGGCAUUUUCCGAAUGUUUGAUGGGAUAUGCAAUCUUUUUCCUGAGCGGCUAACUGAGCAACGUCCCCCAGCCGUCCCGUAUAUAUAUAUAUAUAUUUUUUUUUGCACUGAUUAUUUAUAUUUGAUUAUUUUUGUUUUAUUACACACUUCAAUAGAUGAGCAUGAUCCUUUGGGAAGGUGUUAAAUGAAAAUAAUAAUCUGAAUAAGAAAAGAGGAGAUUUUGGCUAAUUGCGAAAGAUCUUGGAAACACAGUCCUUUGAUAACUAAGACGUAUCGAAGGUGGUGGCAUCACCGGAUCAUUGGGUUUAUUAAAUUUUUAUUUAUUUCGAGAUUUCAAUUCUUAUUUUAAAUUUGAUGGACCUUUCUAUUUUAUUAGUGUUGUGGGUUCUACGCAUCAUCUCUUAUUCCACAUUUGGUUGGGGUUAUUAAAAGAGAUGGAUAGAUGAAAUUGAAAGAAUGGAUGGUCUUUAUCUAUGUUUGGUUCAAAAAAUUGUAAGAAGAUAGAUGAAAAAUGAGAGAUUAU